UGAGCAUACAACCUCUCCUGCUUUUAGAG
rnacentral:piRNA from 1 species